rnacentral:misc_RNA from 1 species
AUGAUGGAUCCGAGAACACGGGUAUCGGUUGCCACGCCAAGUCCGGAUGCCACCUGUAAGAACAUAAAAUUAUUCAACACGUGGUAUGUCUUCUACGCGUAGAAUCGAGCCUGGAGAUUUCUUCUCCUAUUUUGCACUCUCUGUUUCCGCUUUUUUUUCUUUACGGUAUAACAGAUCUUUCUCAAGAAGUUACGAAUACUUCUGAAUUUCACUCGGUGGAAAAAGUGCCGUCGCUACGAGUUGAGCCGUCAUUAUCGUUCGAUCACGGUUGCUGCUCCGAAACUCGACCUCGUCCUUCAGAUAAACGUCACCCAGCCAGUUGCCGUAUCUUUCUCUCAGAAAGACACCGAGAUCGUAAGCCCUUCUUUUGCCAACCUUGAAUGGUAUCGAUUAUUGAGACGAGAAUCUGAUUUUUGCUUAUGUAUUUAUGAG